GCCCUCUUCCGGGAGGGUGAUGUGUGGAUCUGCAUGGAGCUCAUGGACACGUCGCUAGAUAAGUUCUACAAACAAGUGAUUGAUAAAGGCCAAACAAUUCCAGAGGACAUCUUAGGCAAGAUAGCAGUUUCUAAAGAAGCAGCAGAAAAAGAUAGAAGAGACUGUUUGUUACCUUAAUGGCUACUGAGAUUCAUGAGGGUAGAGAAAAAAGAAAAUGCUUGAGGCCAAAC